rnacentral:rRNA from 1 species
UACGAAGGGUGCAAGCGUUACUCGGAAUUACUGGGCGUAAAGCGUGCGUAGGUGGUUCGUUAAGUCUGAUGUGAAAGCCCCGGGCUCAACCUGGGAACUGCAUUGGAUACUGGCGAUCUGGAGUGCGGUAGAGGGUGGCGGAAUUCCCGGUGUAGCAGUGAAAUGCGUAGAUAUCGCUUGGAACGCCGAAGGUGAAAACAGACUGCUGGGGUUGCGCCGACGCUGAGACACGAAAGCCAGGGGAGCAAACGGG